UGCCAGUCAUAGAUGACUGGGGAUGCUGUGUAGGAUUGCUGCACCGAGAAGACUGCAACAAGUUAAAUGCCCCACUUUCAUCGAUGAUGAGAAGCCCGCCUCCUUAUGUUACAACCUCGACAUCUGUUGGUCGUGUGAUUGACCUAAUGUUGGAGAAGGGCUACAAAAUGGUGGUCGUUGUAAAUUAUACUGGUAACUUUUAUGGUACGUCUUACAACUCAAGUUUGAGGCCAGUUGGUGUUUUUACAUUAGAACAAUUAGAUAAGCUUGCUAUUAUUCCUAGCAUCCGUAGUGACAUGGCAACAGUUUCUGUCUGUCAAAGUUCAUUGUAAAGGUAAACUAGACAAUUUUUCCUC